CUAGCACUCUAUGACAAUACACCCCAUUCAGAAAGCUUUAUUAUAAACUGCUUUGACAAGCAU
rnacentral:tRNA from 1 species